CUCCCUUGCACAUUUCCCAUUUGGGGGAUUACAGCUGAUAAGUGCUCAGGGACCCACUGCAGAAAAGCAACAGUGAGGUAGGACUAGAUUUUCUCGUGAUGUUCCCUGUAAUCCAGGCCUCCCUGCAGUAAAUGAACUGAAGGCAUAUGGAGCAUCCAAACUCACUUGCAUUCAUCUUCAUUUGCCCUGGCUGUAACGGACAGUGGCCACACAACUGUCCUUUGGAAAUUGCUAAUGCGAGACCGUAACUGCUGCUCCAUUGCUCCUCCAUCUCUUUG